rnacentral:rRNA from 1 species
GACGAACGCUGGCGGCGUGCUUAACACAUGCAAGUCGAACGGAAAGGCCCUGCUUUUGUGGGGUGUUCGAGUGGCGAACGGGUGAGUGAAACGUGAGUAACCUGCCCUUGAGUUUGGGAGAACUUCAGGAAACUGGGGCUAAUACAGGAUAGGAGAUCCUGAUGCAUGGUGGGGGUUGGAAAGAUACGGCGGUUGGGGAUGGACUCGCGGUUUAUCCGCUUGUUGGUGAGGUAGUGGCUUACCAAGGCUUUGACGGGUAGCCGGCCUGAGAGGGUGACCGGCCCCAUGGCGCCUCGGAUACGGGCCGGAGUCCUACGGCAGGCAGCAGUGGGGGACAGUGCAUGAUGCGCGGAAGCAGGGUGCAGGAUGUCCGCCUGCUGGAUGGCGGCCUGCGGUUUGUAACCCGCUUUCGCGUGUGACGAAGAGUGAGUGACGGUAACGGGUAAAGAAGCACCGGCUAACUACGUG